rnacentral:tRNA from 1 species
GCCACUAUAGCUCAGUCUUGGUUAGAGUGCAACAUUGGUAAUGUUGAGGUCCCGGGUUCGAAUCCCGGUAGUGGCU